CAUGGACACAGGACACAAGAAAACCUGACACGACAAAUCAAAACCAGGUCGGCAAAAACAAAGGUUUACAAGUGGGUCAUUUUGUCCCGCACUGCUAUGUUGCCAGAUGACGUUUUACCAGUCCAAAUCAUAUCACGAAUAACUGCUGGGGAAGAGAAAGCCAAAGAAAAAGCAAAAUGCGUGAAGAAAUAAGACUUCAAUGCAGCCACUGCAGUUCAUAUAAGCUGUGAGAUCAAGCAGACUGGAGAAUCUGCGUCCCCUGCAUGCCGGAACAGUUUUACCGCUUCCUCUGUGAUUUCUUCGUAUUUUGAUUGAAGUUUCAUCGAGGAUCAGAGUCGAUCAAUCCAAUGGAACAGAAUUAAACGGACCUCUGACUCUCUGGAUGAGUGGCAUCUCUAAAGCCAAACAGCCCUAACAUCCAUUUUCAGUCCAUCUUCUUUGGAAGAUCAACCUCGGUGUACUUUUAUCUGGCAAAAGAUGUGCGCUUACGUCUCAAAAGUGCUGGCAACAACAUCAAGCGACGGCCCUUCACUCUCCUCUUUGAACGCGCUUCACCCUCAGAUGAUAAAAAACGGGGUUCGUACCUGCGCUGCUGCAGGCUGACCGAUGUGACCUCCUCCUGUGGGGCGGCGUCCUCCUGACACCGACGCAAGACAGCCGAGGCGACUAAAUACGCUCCUUCAUCUUCCUCGUUGAUCCACGGAUGUCAAAAUGUGCCCAAAUUAGUCAUUAGUAUCGGAGUUAUGCUGAUUUUAAUGUCAAAUAAUAUCAUGCUGGCUACCACUAUCUUCACAAGAUGAUGAGACCUUAAAUCGGAGACUUAUAUAUGCAGAGAUUUUCUUACCCUGGACCAUAGAAUUGACUAAAAAUCUCUAUGUAUGUGUUCAAAGUAGAGCUUGAGUGAUUCAGUACCAUGCUUGUAAUGCAAAAACAAUCUCAAAUCUCCUUCCCCCAUUAAAAUGAGUGGAAAUGCCAUUAAUCUGUUCUGGUCUAGGAAAAAAAAAGUUGUGUGAUAUGCUUUUGGAUGCAAAGAAUGAAGAACAAUUUUGCUUCAUUCUUCAUUGGCGUGCACGAAUGAGUUACUUUGGGGUAGUGUAAUACAGGCAUAUGGAUAUGCAGUACAUAAAGCAGACAGUAACCCUUUCUUAGUAUGCUGCAGUAAUUUUGCCAUUCUUUGAAGAGGAUAAAGAAUUUAUGCUUUUAAGUAUUGUUAUAUUUUCUUUAUAUUGUCUUUGGGCUUCUUCCACCUAUUUAAUGUAGCAAAAGGAGACUACGUCAUAGGAAACACAGCAAACAUGAUGUAUUUUUGUUAUAAUUCAUAUUUUUCAUGGUUUAUGUUUGUAUUUGUUAUAAUUUUCAUUUUUUGCAAUAUUUUGUGACUUUUUUAUUUUAUCGGAAUGAAAGACGUGCAGCAACUUUUUGGAAUGACCAAAUUUAUUUUUUUUAUAUAUAAAUUACAUUGUAUUGAUUGUAGGAGGCUCAAAUUGAAAGCAUUGGCCUCACAGUUCUGAGGUCCCAGGUUCAAUCCCGAACCCGCCCAUGUGGAGUUUGCAUGUUCUUCCCGUGCCUGCGUGGGUUUCCUCCGGGCACUCCGGUUUCCUCCCACAUCCCAAAACAUGCAACAUUAAUUGAACACUCUAAAUUGGCCCUCGGUAUGACUGUGAGUGCGCCUGUUGUCUGUCUCCAUCUACCCUGCGAUUGGCUGGCAACCAGUUCAGGGUGUAAUCCGCCUCCUGCCCAUUGACAGCUGGGAUAGGCUCCAGCACUCCCCGCGACCCUCAUGAGGAUAAGCGGCUAACAAACUAGAUGGAUGUAUUGAUUGUCCUGACAAAGUGCUUCAUUAAUAUGCUCCCCAGGCUACUGUGACUACACUAUGUUGUACUUUAACUGAAAAUGGCUGGGCGUAUAAUUUUCAAGUACAGUAUCCAUUACAAAAUAAGAGCGUCGAGUCAUAGUUAUUUUCUCUUAAAAGCAUUGUAGUAUUUUUGUACAGAAUUGUCCUGAAAUUGUA